rnacentral:tRNA from 1 species
UAGUUCAGUCGGUAGAACGGCGGACUGUUAAUCCGUAUGUCACUGGUUCGAGUCCAGUC